AUCUGGAGGAGAUGCAAAUAUCACUCCAGUUGGUCUGAACAAGCGCUAUGCCAGAAGUUAGUAUGACCCUUUGUCUCUUUGGUGAUAAUUCUCUAAGAAGAUAUUUUUAAAGAUGUAAUUACCCAAACUGGAAUUUUGCCAGCACAGGAGGAUCAACAUGUUUGUGAAAUGUGCCAUGAAGUCACUCGUGAAAAGCAGUUGAAAGCUCAUUUUUAAGAAGUGUCACACUAAAGGCAAAAGCAACAGAACUGUUGGAAAUCACGGCACCCCCUUGGAGAUUCUCCAGUACCAACCAUGCCCUGGUCUCACUUGUGACAGGAUCUUUCCCUCACGGCUGGGAGUGCAGAUGAAUACACUGUGCUACAACCCUGGCUGCCUUCUGCGAGCGAUUUCCUUACAUGAGGAGGAAACAGUCUCAAGUCUUCAUGUUUUUCUAAUCAAAUGUUUUCCUCUACCUCCUAUUCCAUUGCAAACUUCCGGAAAUAAAAAGCACGUUUAAACUUC